rnacentral:rRNA from 1 species
UACGGAGGGGGCUAGCGUUGUUCGGAAUUACUGGGCGUAAAGCGCACGUAGGCGGCUUUGCAAGUUAGAGGUGAAAGCCCGGGGCUCAACUCCGGAAUUGCCUUUAAGACUGCAUCGCUAGAAUUGUGGAGAGGUAAGUGGAAUUCCGAGUGUAGAGGUGAAAUUCGUAGAUAUUCGGAAGAACACCAGUGGCGAAGGCGACUUACUGGACACAUAUUGACGCUGAGGUGCGAAAGCGUGGGGAGCAAACAGG